rnacentral:rRNA from 1 species
AUUGAACGCUGGCGGCAUGCCUUACACAUGCAAGUCGAACGGCAGCGGGGACUUCGGUCCGCCGGCGAGUGGCGAACGGGUGAGUAAUGUAUCGGAACGUACCAUUGAGUGGGGGAUACCGUAGCGAAAGUUACGCUAAUACCGCAUAUUCUCUCCGGAGGAAAGCAGGGGACCGCAAGGCCUUGCGCUCUCUGAGCGGCCGAUAUCAGAUUAGCUAGUUGGUGGGGUAAAAGCUCACCAAGGCGACGAUCUGUAGCGGGUCUGAGAGGAUGAUCCGCCACACUGGAACUGAGACACGGUCCAGACUCCUACGGGAGGCUGCAGUGGGGAAUUUUGGACAAUGGGGGCAACCCUGAUCCAGCCAUGCCGCGUGAGUGAAGAAGGCCUUCGGGUUGUAAAGCUCUUUCGGCCGGGAAAAAAUCGCAUGGGUUAAUACCCUGUGUGGAUGAUGGUACCGGAAUAAGAAGCACCGGCUAACUACGUGCCAGCCGCCGCAGUAACAC